CCUACGGGGGUCAGCAGUGAGGAAUAUUGGUCAAUGGGCUUACGCCUGAACCAGCCAAGUCGCGUGAGGGAAGAAUGCCCUAUGGGUUGUAAACCUCUUUUGUCAGGGAGCAACGCCGGCUACGUGUAGCCGGACUGAGAGUACCUGAAGAAAAAGCAUCGGCUAACUCCGUGCCAGCAGCCGCGGUAAUACGGAGGAUGCGAGCGUUAUCCGGAUUUAUUGGGUUUAAAGGGUGCGUAGGCGGAAUGCCAAGUCAGCGGUAAAAGCGCGGGGCUCAACCUCGCUCCGCCGUUGAAACUGGCGUUCUUGAGAGGGCGAGAAGUAUGCGGAAUGCGUGGUGUAGCGGUGAAAUGCAGAGAUAUCACGCAGAACUCCGAUUGCGAAGGCAGCAUACCGGCGCCCAACUGACGCUGAAGCACGAAAGCGUGGGUAUCGAACAGGAUUAGAUACCCGUGUAGUC
rnacentral:rRNA from 1 species